CCAGGUCAGUUUCUACGUGCCUCGGCCCCUUGGUGGGUCAGACUCCUCAGGGGUGGAGCUUAUGAGCACCUGCCGGGAAGGCGUGGCCUGGCCGCUGGGUGGAGCUUGUGAGCACCUGCCGGGAAGGCGUGGCCUGGCCGCUGGGUGGAGCUUGUGAGCACCUGCCGGGAAGGCGUGGCCUGGCCGCUGGGUGGAGCUUGUGAGCACCUGCGGGGAAGGCGUGGCCUGGCCACUGUGACUCUGGAACCAGGCCGGUGAGGAAGAAAUCACCUGUUCUGCCUGCGUCGUGGAGAGCUCACCUCCCAGCUGCACGCCCUAGACAGGACCAAGCUUCCGGAGCCCAGCUCUGUCGUUGACCCUGCCCGUGCAGCUGCCCCAGAGACACCUGGUGCCUCGGAUUCCUGAACUUUUGGGGGCCGCUUUGGAAUAAACCCGUUGCGGCUCGGCCUUUCCCUGUGGGGCCUCUGGUCUAUGAGAAAGAGAAGAAGACAGCAAGGGAGUGUUGCACUUUAAAUACGGUCGAUCUACCCUCGUGAGUGAUAAGCCAGCCAAGCCUUAUUUUACAGACACUGUUUGCAUUUUCUGAAGUCACCCACUGUUUCACUCCAUCGGCUUUAGCCUUUUUCUCUAAAGCUAUAUAGCCUUGCUUUCAUUUUCCCAAAACUUGCCCUUUAUACUUAGAAACUCAGUUUUUAUCUUGCUUCCACGGUGAUUGCUAUCUUGUUUCCAAAAGAAAGAAGAACAAGAAAGAAAAGAAAGGAAGGAAAACCACGACAAAGAGCAGUUAGGCGGAAAAUAUGUCAUGAGCAAUCCCAGGCCGCUUCAGCUACUGGUGCUGGCAGUGUGCAAACAUCUGGGGUAUUUGCAGAUAUCUUCACCCUGGGAUGGAAAAUUGGGAGCAACCAUCUGGAUGUCUGGCUACAUGUUUCAUUUUUUAGAUGGAUUUUUGAGAGUGCCGUAUAGGAACUUCCAGCAGUGAGGCAACAUACAGUAAAUUCAGCAACGCUUUUAUUGAUAUGCUGUGAAUCAGUAUCUAAGUGGCAGAAUUAUAUACAUAGCUAGCACAAGCACGUAAAAAUUAUUGUCAUGUGUUAAGUAUUAAUUCAGAGGGGUGCCUGGGUGGCUCAGUCGGUUGAGCGUCCGACUUUGGCUCAGGUCAUGAUCUCCCGGUUUGUGAGUUCGAGCCCCGCGUCGGGCUCUGGGCUGACGGCUCGGAGCCUGGAGCCUGCUUCGGAUUCUGGGUCCCCCGCUCUCUCUGCCCCUGCCCUGCUCAUGCUGUGUCUCUCAAAAAUAAAUAAACGGUAAGAGAAUUUUUUUAAAGUAUUAAUUCAGAGAAUGUGAGCCUUGGAGAUACAGCCCAGUUUCUAUAAUCUCGUAGUGGCCUUUCACCAUUAAAUAAAAAAAAUCAGCCCGUCGGGUAAAGAAAAAAAGAAUGGCAUGUUUUGGGCCUCCGUUAGAGUUUGGUGGGCCUGAUUUCAGAAGGAAUCCACUGAUGAUGGGCUGGAAGGCUGGUGGGGGUGGGGUGAAGGUAGGCGUGUCCGAUGUUUGCUCAUGCGGAUGGGCUCUGGCAUCUGUGAGCACACAGCAGGUGCAAGGGAGCCCACAGACAGAAGCCUGGAGCCCCCGGCGGCCUCAUCAUCUCUGGAGCGAAACCUUCCUCCUCCAUCAGGGAGUGAGGAAGGACAGCCUCCCUCCCCACCAGUUAGAGAGGACGAUGGAGAAGAGGGCGCCUCCGAGUGUGCAGGGUGAGUGAGCUUCGUGGAGCACAACCCGCCAGCCGGUGGGUGAGUUCCCAGCCCCAGCCUCCGCCCUGGCCCUGCAGCUCUUGGGACACGGCUCCCAGGGGGGCCAGCUGGGGACACGGCUGCACAGGAAUGAUGCCACAGCUCACGGUGACCCGGGAAGUCAGGGCUGAUCCCAGCCUCACGUUUGUUCCCAGGAACGCUGGAACUAAUACAUUUAAUGAGAGAGUCGUUUUGGUGCCUUUUUUUUUUUUAAAGAAAUACAAUACUGAUCGCAGUAUUCACAGGUGCUUCAAAAAUGGUCUGUUGAGUGGUGAUACCACUUGUAUGUGUGUUAAAAUUGUCCUGUUCCCCAGAUCUGAAGAAUCACCUGGCCGGCGCACGCCAUAGCUUCUAAACACGAAACAGUGUUGGGUGUAGUUAUUCCCGAAUGACUGUAUUUCUUCAAACAAAAUGUUAGAAGUCAAUAUUCUGUUUUCUAACGUGGAAUAUUGGUUUCAGGGGCAACGGUUUCCUAAUGGGAUGCUUGUCACCUUCUCUGAGGCUUAAAUAAACGUUUUCCUUUGACAGUCAAAUACUUGGGAGAUGUUCCCACUUCUCUUCAAGGAUGCUGAGCGUCCCCUUCCGGGAGCGCGUCGGGGCCUCUCACAGCAUCGCACCUGCUGCUAUGUUCCUGCUUAUCACCCCGGCUGGCUGUCAGACUCAUUGGAAGGGAAGGUUGGACGUCCAUAUAUCCCGCAUGUACUCAAGACAGCCGCAAAAACCUUAGGAACUUGUGGAUUUGCCAGAACUUCCAAUUUACCUGCCCGUGUGUGCAAAAUAAACAUGUAGAUUUUA